rnacentral:rRNA from 1 species
CAGCAGCCGCGGGAAUACGAAGGGGGCUAGCGUUGCUCGGAAUGACUGGGCGUAAAGGGCGCGUAGGCGGAUCACGCAGUCAGAUGUGAAAUUCCUGGGCUUAACCUGGGGGCUGCAUUUGAGACGCGUGGUCUAGAGUGUGAAAGAGGGUCGUGGAAUUCCCAGUGUAGAGGUGAAAUUCGUAGAUAUUGGGAAGAACACCGGUGGCGAAGGCGGCGACCUGGUUCAUGACUGACGCUGAGGCGCGAAAGCGUGGGGAGCAAACAGGAUUAGAUACCCCCGUAGUCCCUGUCUCUUAUAC